rnacentral:rRNA from 1 species
UACAGAGGUGGCAAGCGUUGUUCGGAUUUACUGGGCUUAAAGGGCGUGUAGGCGUCCUGAUAAGUCAGAUGUGGAAGCCUUGGGCUUAACCCGAGAAUUGCAUUUGAAACUGUCAGGAUUGAGUCAUGCAAAGGAGGGCGGAAUUCCUGGUGUAGCGGUGAAAUGCGUAGAUAUCAGGAGGAAGGCCUGUGGUGAAGACGGCCCUCUGGGCAAUGACUGACGCUGAGGCGCGAAAGCGUGGGGAG